rnacentral:rRNA from 1 species
UGGGGAAUAUUGCACAAUGGGCGCAAGCCUGAUGCAGCCAUGCCGCGUGUGUGAAGAAGGCCUUCGGGUUGUAAAGCACUUUCAGCGAGGAGGAAGGUGGUGAGCUUAAUACGCUCAUCAAUUGACGUUACUCGCAGAAGAAGCACCGGCUAACUCCGUGCCAGCAGCCGCGGUAAUACGGAGGGUGCAAGCGUUAAUCGGAAUUACUGGGCGUAAAGCGCACGCAGGCGGUUUGUUAAGUCAGAUGUGAAAUCCCCGGGCUCAACCUGGGAACUGCAUUUGAAACUGGCAAGCUAGAGUCUCGUAGAGGGGGGUAGAAUUCCAGGUGUAGCGGUGAAAUGCGUAGAGAUCUGGAGGAAUACCGGUGGCGAAGGCGGCCCCCCUGGACGAAGACUGACGCUCAGGUGCGAAAGCGUGGGGCAGCAAACAGGAUUAGAUACCCUGGUAGUCCACGCUGUAAACGAUGUCGAUUUUGGAGGUUGUGCCCUUGAGGCGUGGCUUCCGGAGCUAACGCGUUAAAUCGACCGCCU